UUAGAUGUGAAUCCCCAGGGCUCAACCUGGGAACUGCAUUUCAAACUGGCAAACUAGAGUGUGAUAGAGGGGGGUGGAAUUUCAGGUGUAGCGGUGAAAUGCGUAGAGAUCUGAAGGAAUACCGAUGGCGAAGGCGGCCCCCUGGGUCAACACUGACGCUCAUGUACGAAAGCGUGGGGAGCAAACAGGAUUAGAUACCCUGGUAGUCCACGCCGUAAACGAUGUCUGCUAGACGCUCGGAACCUCACUGUUGUUUUUCACACCUAACGGAUUAAGUAUACCGCCUGGGGAGUACGGCCGCAAGGUUAAAACUCAAAUGAAUUGACGG
rnacentral:rRNA from 1 species